rnacentral:rRNA from 1 species
GGAGUGGCGCACGGGUGCGUAACGCGUGGGAAUCUGCCCUUGGGUCUGGGAUAACAGUUGGAAACGACUGCUAAUACCGGAUGAUAUCGCGAGAUCAAAGAUUUAUCGCCCGAGGAUGAGCCCGCGUUGGAUUAGCUAGUUGGUGGGGUAAAGGCCUACCAAGGCGACGAUCCUUAGCUGGUCUGAGAGGAUGAUCAGCCACACUGGGACUGAGACACGGCCCAGACUCCUACGGGAGGCAGCAGUGGGGAAUAUUGGACAAUGGGCGAAAGCCUGAUCCAGCAAUGCCGCGUGAGUGAUGAAGGCCUUAGGGUUGUAAAGCUUU